rnacentral:rRNA from 1 species
UACGUAGGGUGCGAGCGUUGUCCGGAAUUAUUGGGCGUAAAAGAGCUUGUAGGCGGUCUGUCGCGUCUGCUGUGAAAAACCCCGGGGGCUCAAACCCCCGGGGCCUGCAUUCGAUACGGGCAGACUAGAGUUCGGUAGGGGAGUCUGGAAUUCCUGGUGUAGCGGUGAAAUGCGCAGAUAUCAGGAGGAACACCGGUGGCGAAGGCGGGACUCUGGGCCGAUACUGACGCUGAGGAGCGAAAGCGUGGGAGCAAACAGG